AGAGUUUGAUCCUGGCUCAGAGUGAACGCUGGCGGCGUGCUUAACACAUGCAAGUCGAACGGUAACAGAAGAAGCUUGCUUCUUGCUGACGAGUGGCGGACGGGUGAGUAAUGUAUAGAUAUGUGCCCCAUAGAUUAGGAUAGCCACUGGAAACGGUGAUUAAUACUAGAUACUCCUUACGAGGGAAAGCUUUUGCGCUAUGGGAUCGGUCUAUAUGGUAUCAGGUAGUUGGUGAGGUAAGAGCUCACCAAGCCAAUGACACCUAGCUGGUCUGAGAGGAUGAUCAGCCACACUGGAACUGAGACACGGUCCAGACUCCUACGGGAGGCAGCAGUGGGGAAUAUUGCACAAUGGGGGAAACCCUGAUGCAGCAACGCCGCGUGGAGGAUGACGCAUUUCGGUGUGUAAACUCCUUUUAUAUGGAAGAUAAUGACGGUACCAUAUGAAUAAGCACCGGCUAACUCCGUGCCAGCAGCCGCGGUAAUACGGAGGGUGCAAGCGUUACUCGGAAUCACUGGGCGUAAAGCGCGCGCAGGCGGGUUUGUAAGUUGGAAGUGAAAUCCACUGGCUUAACCAGUGAACUGCUUCCAAAACUACUAACCUAGAGUGUGGGAGGGGAAGAUGGAAUUAGUUGUGUAGGGGUAAAAUCCGUAGAGAUAACUAGGAAUACCAAAAGCGAAGGCGAUCUUCUGGAACACUACUGACGCUGAGGCGCGAAAGCAUGGGGAGCAAACAGGAUCAGAUACCCUGGUAGUCCAUGCCCUAAACGAUGAAUGUUAGUCGUUGGUAUGCUCGUCAUAUCAGUGAUGCACUUAACAGAUUAAACAUUCCGCCUGGGGAGUACGGUCGCAAGAUUAAAACUCAAAGGAAUAGACGGGGACCCGCACAAGUGGUGGAGCAUGUGGUUUAAUUCGAAAAUACGCGAAGAACCUUACCUAGCCUUGACAUUGAUUGAAUUCGAUAGAGAUAUUGAAGUGCCCUUUUGGGAACAUGAAAACAGGUGCUGCACGGCUGUCGUCAGCUCGUGUCGUGAGAUGUUGGGUUAAGUCCCGCAUCGAGCGCAACCCUCGUGACUAGUUACUAACGGUUUGGCCGAGGACUCUAGUCAGACUGCCUUCGUAAGGAGGAGGAAGGUGAGGACGACGUCAAGUCAUCUUGGCCCUUACGGCUAGGGCGACACACGUGCUACAAUGGUUAGGACAAUGAGAGGCAAUACCGCGAGGUGGAGCAAAUCUAUAAACCUAAUCUCAGUUCGGAUUGUAGUCUGCAACUCGACUACAUGAAGCUGGAAUCACUAGUAAUCGUAGAUCAGCCAUGCUACGGUGAAUACGUUCCCGGGUCUUGUACUCACCGCCCGUCACACCAUGGGAGUUGAUUUCACCCGAAGCGGGGAAGC
rnacentral:rRNA from 1 species